rnacentral:misc_RNA from 1 species
CCUUGUCCUGGCUACCAUCAUCUUUGCUUCUGUCUUUCACUUUGUGAAAACGAAUUUGGCUUGAUGGAGCUGGUGAUCUAAGAUGCGCGGAAACGGGAGGAGCCCGCGCUUCCCAGUUCAGGUAACGUUUCCUCGCCGGAACGUAAGGACACGGCCGGCCAGGAAACGUCUCCGGGCCGUUUCCGCAAUUCUUAGAAAUCGAACACGGGUUUCCUGGCGCUGGUGGGCUGGUGGGGCGGCG